UGCCAGCAACAUACUCCUAGGACGACGGACACGCUCGAGCCCUGAACUCGGUAGGGGACCGGCGGGCGCCUGCUCCCUGGCCGCCAAUCUGCUCAUCAAGCGCCGCCUCCCAUCAUCCCCAACCGGAGCAAGUGGAAAGGCAUCCUAGCUUCUUGUCCAUCACCACUGUCACAACAGGAGAUUUGUCCAUUUUAAUGGGAGCAAGGAUACGAUUUCAUCUGAGAUGUCAGGAGCAUUGAUCUGGAUAUGGUUUGCCCGCUAAUGGCCAAGCUAGGCAGCUGUCCUAUAAGCCUUCUGAUUGCCAAUACAGGUUUCUUAAUUAUAAUAACUACACCGCCAAUGUGAAAAGUUAAUUUCAUGGUAUUACUAACUUUUAUCAUUUUGCUCUUAGUUUUCCUUACUCGUGAAAACAGUGUUAGCUAUACUGACAUUUGCAUGUUGUGAAAACUGUAGUUUGGUUGAUAUUCUGUCAAAUCUAUUCCUUGCACCGUUCCGUGUGGUCUUUAUGCUGUCAGCAUGUGCCGUCUUCUCAAAGACAUGCAUUGAAUUCUCUAUUUCAUCUGCCAAUGAUGUUUCUAAAUAGCUAGAGGUAAUAACAAACGUAUAUGUUGUAUUUAUGUUUUGAGCCAGAUAUAAAUUCAUACUACAGAUAGUAAACAUGAGACUGUGUACGAGGACAGAUUGCACUUUUCUAUUCAUUUAAACAAGUAUAUCGGAGAAAUAGUUCCUCAAAGUGAGAAUUUUAAGUAGUAACCUUUUCUGACGGAGGAACUAUUGCAUGAUUUUUAUUGUUACUGAACUUUCUUAUAUUAUUGAUGCCGAAACCUUUUUCUUGACAGAGCCCCUUUUGUAUUUUGUUUUCUGUUAAUAAACAAAGUCAUGUCUUUGUUUCCAGACAUCUCAUGGGUCUAUUCCAUUAGUUUCUUCCCAUCUGCUAAGAUUUCCUAACGACCUGACACAUGAUAUGUACGAUAAGUAUUAUUGUCUAUGCUCUAUUUUUUCUAAGUUGAACUAUGUUUGGGUUACUCCAAUGCAGAAGGAUAUUAUGGAAUUGUGAACUGACGAUUAAUAUUGCCGCCU